rnacentral:lncRNA from 1 species
UUUGUAAUAGUUUUAGUAUAAAGUUAUAUUUAGCUUGAGACAUUUAUUUUGAGACAGAGAGAGUACUUAGUUCUUUCCCACUAUAAUUAUUUAGAAACAGGGAGUGUAGGUGGGACAUUUGCUUUCCCUGAACACAUCCUUCAAGCCAUCUCCUCGUCUUUGUGAGGCCACUGCCCCUACUCUUUGCAAACUGCAAUGGACCACCGCGCCCUUCACUUUGUAAUAGUUUUAGUAUAAAGUUAUAUUUAGCUUGAGACAGAGAAAAUACUUAAUUCUUUCCAACUAUAAUUAUUUAGAAACAGAGGGAGUAGGUGGAACAUUUGCUUUCCCUGGACACAUUCUUCAAGCCAUCUCUUCAUCUUUGUCAGGCCACUGCCCCUACUCCUUGCAAGCUGGACACAUUCUUCAAACCAUCUCUUCAUCUUUGUCAGGCCACUGUCCCUACUCCUUGCAAGCUGCAAUGGACCACCGCGCCCUUCGCUUUGAGAUCUUUUGACAAAGUGGUGUCCGAGGCUUGGAGCAAGCCGACCAACCACACUAAGCCAUGCCACGUUGUAAAAGCAAAAUUCAAACUCGAUUGACAUUGUCAUGAAUAAACGUCACCACCAGAUCGGAAAAAAUUGAACUCAAGUGACAUUGUCAUGAAUAAACGUCGCCACCAGAAAGGAAAAAAUCAAACUCAAGUGACAUUGUCAUGAAUAAACGUCGCCGCC